UACGAAGGGGGCUAGCGUUGCUCGGAAUUACUGGGCGUAAAGGGCGCGUAGGCGGACAGUUUAGUCAGAGGUGAAAGCCCAGGGCUCAACCUUGGAAUUGCCUUUGAUACUGAUUGUCUUGAGUACGGGAGAGGUGAGUGGAACUCCGAGUGUAGAGGUGAAAUUCGUAGAUAUUCGGAAGAACACCAGUGGCGAAGGCGACUCACUGGCCCGUUACUGACGCUGAGGCGCGAAAGCGUGGGGAGCAAACAGG
rnacentral:rRNA from 1 species